UACGGGGGGGGCAAGCGUUGUUCGGAAUUACUGGGCGUAAAGGGCGCGUAGGCGGCCUUCUAAGUCGGACGUGAAAUCCCUCGGCUUAACCGAGGAACUGCGUCCGAUACUGAAAGGCUUGAAUUCGGGAGAGGGAUGCGGAAUUCCAGGUGUAGCGGUGAAAUGCGUAGAUAUCUGGAGGAACACCGGUGGCGAAGGCGGGUCUCUGGGCCUUACCUGACGCUGAGGCGCGAAAGCUAGGGGAGCGAACAGG
rnacentral:rRNA from 1 species